GCAAAAUGACUUUCCUGCAACAGGCUUUUUCCAAAGGGUUUCCCAAGCCCUUUCCCUGUUGGUCAGGACAGGAACCACCUAUUCUGGAAGUUCAGGCUGCCCAAUUUGGCGCAUGCUGGUGUUUCCCUCUGCAUCCCCUGACCUCCAUAAAUCCUGUACAUCUGGUAUAAUCUUAGGUCUUCUACUUGCCUGAGCAUCCUGCAUGUUCUGGUUCCUGUACUGUAUAACUAAACCAUUUUAAGAAUGAUUUAGCUGCAAGAAAGUAAGGGAAACAGCUCCUGCUUUGAGAUUUGAAUAACUUGAUCCAUUUAUGGAUGUGCCCCCUGUUCUUCAAAACACACAGCUAUAAAACUGGUUACCCUCAUUACUUUUUUUUUUGGUACUCCCUGCUUCUCUAAAAUGUUCUCAUGGGUUGUUUUGGAAGGCUAAUAUAAUGUUUGGAAAUAAACCAAGUUGAGAGCUACAAUAAAAUGAGAGCGAGGGAGCUCUGUUAAGUGAAUUGGAGGCUUGUAUUAGAUCUGUUCCAGCAAGUGUGGCCUUGCAGGUAACCACCUAGCUAAAAGCUCCUACCCAAGGUACACAGGGACAAGAAAACAGUUCAAGUUUGGACCAGUCAGUACUGAAUUAAAUGGCCUCUUUCUGUUGCAGGUGGUAGAGCAGAAUAAAUGACCAAGACAACCUCGCAACUCUGAUGUCUGCUACGGAUGCUAGCUGGUUGACUUAGAUACAAGUCCUUUACAGUCAAAUAAUAUGCAAGCCUCGAUUUUCCUGCACUAACAGCAGAAUCGGAAUUGAGUUGCUAGGCCCAGUUUUCACAUGUAUGUGUCAAUGCUUUGAUAAUUUCCCCAUUCGUGGCAACUUAAGAAGAAAUCCUAGAAAUUAAGAGCUGGAAGGGAGCUCGACAGAUCAUCAGGUUGACCUCACCCCUUUCCUACUUGCACCAUUGCAUGCACUCUUUCUCCCUUCCUUGCUUCCCUCCCCCCUACCCUGCCUUCUCAGACCCUGUGUCCAUGCCCUAAGUGUGAAGACUCCCUUUGGAGCCCUAAAACAGCUUCUUAACCUGUCAGAAGGGUCUCUGUAGAACAAUUAGAGGUCACAUCUCCAUCUAGGAGAUGAGAGCUCUACUUCUGCAGAAAUCCCAGACCUUGUAGUGUAGGGUACAAGGGUGCACAAAGGCAGUGUGGCACUGGGCUGGCUGAAUAGCAGCCUCCUUGAUUAAUGCUUACUAGAAUAAACUACUUUUUCUGUACAACUCAGAGCAUGCAGAUGCAAUAAAGAACAAACAUGACAGGAUGAAAUGGGGAAGGGAAUUAGAUUUUGGAGUUGUGUAUUGGAUAGGCAUUUUUAAUCCUCAGGAAGUGAUACCGUUCACAAGUGUCGAAAGAGAAGCUUUGUUGGAGUCAGUUAACUCGCAUCAGUUAAAGUUACAUGACUGUAGUCUGUAUACAUUAUAAAAUGCAUGGGUAAAAGUAGUGGGUAAAAGCCCUGGGCAUUGUUUAGCUAGGAGGCAUGUUGGGUGUGCAUGUGUGACAUCUUACUGGAGUCACUGGAUGAAAGAACAGCAUGUACAUCCCAAUAAGACCCUGCCCCACUCCCCCCAACUUCAAGGUAAGUUGCCUUCAAUGGUUGCAACUGUUCUGCUUGCUUUUAUAAACAGAGCUUUCUUGUGUUUUACAUUAAUAAAAUUAAUUUGAAAAAUGAAAUCGGGAGCUAGUCACCUGGGUGACCAUGCUGACUAUGCCUGUGGGUAGUUUCCAGCAACAACCACUGUGAAAAGAACAGGAAUUUUGAGCGAUACUAAUGUGCCAACGCUAAUCUAUCCCAGAAAUUCUUCUAGAUACAGAAAAUAUUGGAUAGCAGCCCUUGCUUUGUGGGGAUGCCACAAAUGGAGCUGGAGGAAGAAUCCAGAGGUGGCUAGAGGAACAGGAAAAAGCAGAAGCAAAUGACCCAUAUGACAUAUGCCUGAAGAACAUAAAAAGUUGAGUGAGAUUUGUAGCAUAUCUGGGGUUUGUGUUCCAGCACUCUGAUGGAAGGCAUGCAAGAGGCUUGAGAAGAUUUGGGUUGAGUUUCUUGCUCCAACACAGAUGUCCUUUGUGACCUUGGACACUCGCCUUCUCUGUGCCCAGAGGGACAGAAUACUUCCUGAAAUCAAAGGAGUUAUGAAGACAACACGCCAGAGCUUGAGGGUCUUGUGUAUUUUGAAUAAUGCUGCUGCAUUCCCUCACAGUGAAACUGCAGACACCCCAGCUCUGGCAUUCAUUGGAUUCAUGUGCUUGGAUUUAAGCAUGUCUUUCCAUGAGACCGUCAUUGAAAAAAACUUCUAAAUCUUCUCCAGCUCCGAGAACCACCACCAUGGAGAGCUAACAUGGUAGGGUCAUUCCUACUCCUUUCUGCUAUGCUGCCCCAGUACAGAAAAGAAGCGAGAAUUGCAGUUUUCAGUGCAAGGGAGUGGACUGUCAACUUUCUGGAAGAUUGGUUGUAACCUUUAUAUAAAUUAACAUGCAUGCAUACAUACAUACAUACAUACACGAAUGUUUGUAGAAACUUCAGUGCUUUUGGCGGGGAAGUGGGGAGGUUAAUAACAUGCACUAUACAGCUACGCCUCGUUUAACGUUGUCGUUAUGUUCUUGAAAAAUGCAACUUUAAGCGAAACGAUGUUAAGCGAAUCCAAUUAUGUCACAGUAGUUACCUACUAGCAGGCGAUGGCCGAACAACGUUAUAACUGAACAUUGCAUGACUUUAAACGAGUACGUUCUCUAAUAGAUCAGCAACAUAAUAAUGAAACAAAGUUAACCGGGAUGACGUUAGGUGAGGAGUACCUGUAUUUAUAUGCUUAAUUUUGUCAGUUGUGGUGUUAAAGCUUGGGACAAGGCAUCCAGUCUAGACUUGGACUGAGGUCACCAGCUCAACUACUUGAUGCUACAAUGCUGGCAUGGAAGACGCCUGUACAUGACUUCUUUUAUUGUGGAAAAGCUGCUGCACAUCAGCUUCCACGUGGCUCUUGACAGAACGGGACCUUGAUCCAAUGGCAAGGAGACCAAGCUGACUGGGGAUGUCAUUCUGCUGCAGCCUCUAUCCGCCUUCAGCCUUUGAGAUGAACAUCUUCCACCUGCUCCGCUGUUGAGGACUUGUAGACUCAAAGCUGGUGACUGGGCAGGCUUAUUACAGUGGUGACCUGUACUUACCAUGUCACAACACCAUCAAAGAAUACAUGUUGAUUUUCAGGAGGGAAACCAUUGGUAUCUGCUGUCCUCAUCACACAUCCUGGUGGUGUUGCUGCUGCUUGGUCCACAACUGCUUAUUCAUCAGAGUUACCCCUGAUGGUUUCACAGCUAACCUUCCCUGAAGGUCAUUCCACUAUCCACCACCUGUGGACGUGCUGGGUAGCAGUACAGCUCUGGCCCCCUGCCCCAUUUUACCGAUGUACAGUAAUAAUAAAGAUACAGAUUAUUUUCCCUAGGCCAGCAAUCACAGGUGGCGCAGAUCCUUACUACGAUUGACCUAGGACAUUCUGCCAGAGAUUACAGGAUCUGAAAAUCUCUAAUCUGUGACCAGUUCUCUUCCUUUAAAAAAAAAAAAUUUGGCUGUACUCAUUGAAUUGCAAGUUGAAACCCUAAUAAUCAUUUCAUUAUUAAAGAAACAAAUCUGUUUGUGAAAAAA